UGGGCGUAAGCGCGCGCAGGUGGUUUCUUAAGUCUGAUGUGAAAGCCCACGGCUCAACCGUGGAGGGUCAUUGGAAACUGGGAGACUUGAGUGCAGAAGAGGAAAGUGGAAUUCCAUGUGUAGCGGUGAAAUGCGUAGAGAUAUGGAGGAACACCAGUGGCGAAGGCGACUUUCUGGUCUGUAACUGACACUGAGGCGCGAAAGCGUGGGGAGCAAACAGGAUUAGAUACCCUGCUAGUCCACGCCCUCCCCGAUGAGUGCUAAGUGUUAGAGGGUUUUCUCCCCCC
rnacentral:rRNA from 1 species